CAAAGCCGACAGGGCUCGGGUAAAAUCGCAUGCAGCUGUGCCGCGGCUUAAAUUAGCCCCGAGCAGCAGGGCGUCAGAGGAGGAGAGCAAAAUUACACCCCUCCGCUUACACUCAGAAGAACACCAAAUGAACCCCAAGCACAAGUUCCUAAGCUGACAGAAAUAGAGCACGGCUGUGUGAUGUGAUGCGAUGCGAUGCGAUACAGCAGGCUAAUGAAGCAGGUUAGGAAGCUGCGGUGAGAGUGCAGCAUCAGCCAGGAUACGGCGCCCCUGGACAGACAGGGUUAAGGGCCUUGCUCAACGG